UCCCUGGUAGUCCAGUGGUUAAGACUCUGCACUUCCAUUGCAGAGGGCAUGGGUUCAAACCCUGGUUGGGGAA